GUUUCGAUGACGCCAGGACGGCGUCAUCCGCAGGACCGGCGCCCGGGCGUCGGUCCUGCAGCGAGGGCGAAGGCGCCCUCGCCGGUUCCGGGGCAGGCCAGGGACGGCCACCCCGGUAGCCACUC
rnacentral:ncRNA from 1 species